GGCGCAGGCGGUUUUUUAAGUCUGAUGUGAAAAGCCUUCGGCUCAACCGAAGAAGUGCAUCGGAAACUGGGAAACUUGAGUGCAGAAGAGGACAGUGGAACUGCAUGUGUAGCGGUGAAAUGCGUAGAUAUAUGGAAGAACACCAGUGGCGAAGGCGGCUGUCUGGUCUGUAACUGACGCUGAGGCUCGAAAGUAUGGGUAGCAAACAGGAUUAGAUACCCUGGUAGUCCAUACCGUAAACGAUGAAUGCUAAGUGUUGGAGGGUUUCCGCCCUUCAGUGCUGCAGCUAACGCAUUAAGCAUUCCGCCUGGGGAGUACGGCCGCAAGGCUGAAACUCAAAGGAAUUGACGGGGGCCCGCACAAGCGGUGGAGCAUGUGGUUUAAUUCGAAGCUACGCGAAGAACCUUACCAGGUCUUGACAUACUAUGCAAAUCUAAGAGAUUAGACGUUCAGCCUUCGGGGACAUGGAUACAGGUGGUGCAUGGUUGUCGUCAGCUCGUGUCGUGAGAUGUUGGGUUAAGUCCCGCAACGAGCGCAACCCUUAUUUAUCAGUUGCCAGCAUUAAGUUGGGCACUCUGGUGAGACUGCCGGUGACAAACCGGAGGAAGGUGGGGAUGACGUCAAAUCAUCAUGCCCCUUAUGACCUGGGCUACACACGUGCUACAAUGGAUGGUACAACGAGUUGCGAACUCGCGAGAGUAAGCUAAUCUCUUAAAGCCAUUCUCAGUUCGGAUUGUAGGCUGCAACUCGCCUACAUGAAGUCGGAAUCGCUAGUAAUCGCGGAUCAGCAUGCCGCGGUGAAUACGUUCCCGGGCCAUAUUGUACACACCGCCCGUCACACCAUGAGAGUUUGUAACACCCAAAGUCGGUGGGGUAACCUUUUAGGAACC
rnacentral:rRNA from 1 species